GAUGAACGCUAGCGGCAGGCCUAACACAUGCAAGUCGAGGGGUAGAACACUUCGGUGUUUGAGACCGGCGCACGGGUGCGUAACGCGUAUGCAAUCUACCUUAUACAGGGGAAUAGCCCAGAGAAAUUUGGAUUAAUGCCCCAUAGCAUUACGACUUGGCAUCAAGAUGUAAUUAAAGUUCCAACGGUAUAAGAUGAGCAUGCGUCCCAUUAGUUAGUUGGUAAGGUAACGGCUUACCAAGACGAUGAUGGGUAGGGGUCCUGAGAGGGAGAUCCCCCACACGGGUACUUAGACACGGACCAGACUCCUACGGGAGCCAGCAGUGAGGAAUACUGGUCAAUGGUCGCAAGACUGAACCAGCCAUGCCGCGUGCAGGAAGACGGUCCUAUGGAUUGUAAACUGCUUUUAUACAGGAAGAAACCCUCCCACGUGUGGGAGCUUGACGGUACUGUAGGAAUAAGGAUCGGCUAACUCCGUGCCAGCCGCCGCGGUAACAC
rnacentral:rRNA from 1 species